GCAAACUUGGUCAUUUAGAGGAAGUAAAAGUCGUAACAAGGUUUCCGUAGGUGAACCUGCGGAAGGAUCAUUAGUGAAUUUGUUGGAUUUUCAUAAUCCACACACUCUCACUUUCUAACACUGUGAACUUAUCUAAAAUGAUCGUAGAGCUUGUCUCUUUUGCGUAUCGUUUUUUAUACCCAUAAACAUUUGAAAAGUUGAAGAAUGUCUUUUUAAUAUAACAAAUAAAAACUUUCAACAACGGAUCUCUUGGCUCUCGCAUCGAUGAAGAACGCAGC
rnacentral:misc_RNA from 1 species